ensembl:snoRNA
UGCACUAUCGUAUGUUUUUGUUUAACUUACAAAGAUUCCAGUAAGAUACAAAAAAGAAAUCCCCUUUUGCAACGCAAAACUUCCUAAUCAGUACAAGUUUUGAUACAUAUAAGCAGGAAUAGG